AUUGAUAGAUUGAUUUGGUUUAUUUUUACGAAUCCUUUAGAAAGAACGUGGAAAUAUUUGUAGAAAUUGUAAUUGUGCUUUUUUGUUGUUGUUGUAGAAGUCCCCCAUUUCAACGUUAACAGCCUUCGAAGCAGGAAUGAUGUGGUGCUAAACUAAAGAAUGUUCAGAGGAGGCAUAAGCUUUGGGGGCAGGAUAGGAACCAAGUGCCGAGUAGAGGAAAAUGUGGUCCAACUUUGCAAGUGGAUUAAAUAGGCAAAACAAGAAUCUCAGGCCAACACAUAGCUUUCAGAAACUCAAACAUUAACUCACAUGUUGUGUCUCACUGUCAUGCUGAACUCCACACCAACAUAGCCUCUUGUAUUUCUCAGACCAGAAGCAAAAUAAAUUGCAAACUGGUCUAAUUAA